GGCGGCGGCAGCGGCUGGGGCGCGCCCAGGGGGAGCGGGGCGCCGCCGCCUUUGAGCGGGCCGCCGCCGCCGCCGUGCGGGAAGAGCUGCUGCCAGUGCUGCAGGUUGCUGCUAGGUGAGAAAACAGCCUCAUCCCGCUGUGAACCCUAGAAACUACAGCACCAAGAAGCCAUGCAAAAUGUGCGCACUGGAGAUACCGGAUGCUAAUAAGAACUGACAGGCCUUCCUCUCACAGUUCAGGGAUCUACGUGGAAGAGGAGGCAGAACGGUUGGAAGAGCCAGAGGUGAUGGAUGACCCAAGGGAUGUGUCUUCUUGACAGAACAGAGCCGACACACGUAUGAACUUAUGGAGACGGUGGCAGCACACACAAGACCUGCACAGGUUCACACCAGACAAAAUCCCAGCACAGAGAAGGGCAAUGGACACAAGUCCCAUACACAGCAGAGAAGUUAUUUGCAAUUGAUAAUCUGAUGAGAGAAAAAAAAUCAAUUUAUCCAAAAGGGUGUCACCAGGUACAUCACUCCAGGGCAGACCCCAUGCCCAAGAGUAAUUGGCUAAUACAAAAUGGGUUCCAUGUUUUUUUAUUUUUAUUAUUUGUUGGUUUUGGGGAAUUUUGUUUUUUUAAGAGAGAAAUGAAAGAGAGGAAGAAGAUGAAGUUGGGUAGAAAGGAUUUGGGAGGAGUUGAGGAAGGGGAAAAUAUGAUCCAAAUAUAUUAUACGAAAAAAUUAAUAAAAACUAUUUUAAAAGAAGAACUAGGAGGCAAACGAGAUGGUUCCAUUGAUAAAGGUUCUUGACACAGCCUUAUGACCUGAGUUCAAUCCCCAGAACCUCCACGGUGGAAGAGAGAGAACCAACUCCCACAAGCUUUCCUCGGACCAUACACCAUAGCACACGUGCACCCUCCAUAUACACAC